rnacentral:rRNA from 1 species
ACUCCUGCGGGAGGCAGCAGUGGGGAAUCUUGCGCAAUGGGCGAAAGCCUGACGCAGCCAUGCCGCGUGAAUGAUGAAGGUCUUAGGAUUGUAAAAUUCUUUCACCGGGGACGAUAAUGACGGUACCCGGAGAAGAAGCCCCGGCUAACUUCGUGCCAGCAGCCGCGGUAAUACGAAGGGGGCUAGCGUUGCUCGGAAUUACUGGGCGUAAAGGGAGCGUAGGCGGACAUUUAAGUCAGGGGUGAAAUCCCGGGGCUCAACCUCGGAAUUGCCUUUGAUACUGGGUGUCUUGAGUAUGAGAGAGGUGUGUGGAACUCCGAGUGUAGAGGUGAAAUUCGUAGAUAUUCGGAAGAACACCAGUGGCGAAGGCGACACACUGGCUCAUUACUGACGCUGAGGCUCGAAAGCGUGGGGAGCAAACAGGAUUAGAUACCCCUGUAGUCCCAUG